rnacentral:rRNA from 1 species
GAUAUGGCUCAGGAUGAACGCUAGCUACAGGCUUAACACAUGCAAGUCGAUGGGCAUCAGGAAGAAAGCUUGCUUUCUUUGCUGGCGACCGGCGCACGGGUGAGUAACACGUAUCCAACCUGCCCUUUACUCGGGGAUAGCCUUUCGAAAGAAAGAUUAAUACCCGAUAGCAUAAUGAUUCCGCAUGGUUUCAUUAUUAAAGGAUUCCGGUAAAGGAUGGGGAUGCGUUCCAUUAGGUUGUUGGUGG